rnacentral:rRNA from 1 species
UACAGAGGUCUCAAGCGUUGUUCGGAUUCACUGGGCGUAAAGGGUGCGUAGGUGGUGGGGUAAGUCGGAUGUGAAAGCUCGGAGCUCAACUCCGAAAUGGCAUUGGAAACUACCCUGCUAGAGGAUUGGAGGGGGGACUGGAAUACUUGGUGUAGCAGUGAAAUGCGUAGAUAUCAAGUGGAACACCAGUGGCGAAGGCGAGUCCCUGGACAAUUCCUGACACUGAGGCACGAAAGCUAGGGGAGCAAACAGG